GAUGAACGCUGGCGGCGUGCCUAAUACAUGCAAGUCGAGCGAACAGACGAGGAGCUUGCUCCUCUGACGUUAGCGGCGGACGGGUGAGUAACACGUGGAUAACCUACCUAUAAGACUGGGAUAACUUCGGGAAACCGGAGCUAAUACCGGAUAAUAUAUUGAACCGCAUGGUUCAAUAGUGAAAGACGGUUUUGCUGUCACUUAUAGAUGGAUCCGCGCCGCAUUAGCUAGUUGGUAAGGUAACGGCUUACCAAGGCGACGAUGCGUAGCCGACCUGAGAGGGCGAUCGGCCACACUGGAACUGAGACACGGUCGAGACUCCUACGGGAGGCAGCAGUAGGGAAUCUUCCGCAGUGGGCGAAAGCCUGACGGAGCAACGCCGCGUGAGUGAUGAAGGUCUUCGGAUCGUAAAACUCUGUUAUUAGGGAAGAACAAAUGUGUAAGUAACUAUGCACGUCUUGACGGUACCUAAUCAGAAAGCCACGGCUAACUACGUG
rnacentral:rRNA from 1 species